AAAAUGUUCAAAUGUUAGUGUGAAGUAGUGUGGUUUCGAAAUAUGACAAUAAUUUUGUCAUCUGCACAUAAGGCCAUUUCAUAUAUAGCAUGCAGCUAUGGGCAUAUACAGCAUCUGAACAGUUCUGUAAAACAAGAUGAAGUAAAGUUCCUCCAGAGGUCUGUCUACUUUCCGGUAUGUGCACAUUAUGUACACAUAUCACACGUAAAAGCAAACCAAAUCUGUCUUGAAUUUAUUCAACUUUACUAUUUGAUAUUUACCCCAAUAUUGUAUAUUGGUUGUAGUUUUUAUAUAUUUGUGUUUGGUACCCAGCUGGCACUAAGUACUAAUUACAGGCACAACAGCUGUGAUGUGACAAACCUUCGAUUAUGAAAAUGAAAUAGCUCUUGAGCAAAUGCCAGUAAAAAGCAAUAAGAGAGAAUGCAGAGAGCUGCAUCAAACAACCAAGUGCCGGGAGAAGACUUGUCGAGCGGACAGUGUCGAGAUGAAGCAAUGAAUUACGCUGCUUUGACU